rnacentral:rRNA from 2 species
CAUGCAAGUCGAGGGACCGGCGCACGGGUGAGUAACGCGUAUCCAACCUGCCUUACACUCUUGGACAGCCUUCUGAAAGGGAGAUUAAUACAAGAUGUUUAAAGCCGGUGUAAGAUGGGGAUGCGUUCCAUUAGAUAGUAGGCGGGGUAACGGCCCACCUAGUCUUCGAUGGAUAGGGGUUCUGAGAGGAAGGUCCCCCACAUUGGAACUGAGACACGGUCCAAACUCCUACGGGAGGCAGCAGUGAGGAAUAUUGGUCAAUGGACGAGAGUCUGAACCAGCCAAGUAGCGUGAAGGAUGAAGGUUUAUGGAUUGUAAACUUCUUUUAUACGGGAAUAUGCAUGUACCGUAUGAAUAAGGAUCGGCUAACUCCGUGCCAGCAGCCGCGGUAAUACGGAGGAUCCGAGCGUUAUCCGGAUUUAUUGGGUUUAAAGGGAGCGUAGAUGGGUUGUUAAGUCAGUUGUGAAAGUUUGCGGCUCAACCGUAAAAUUGCAAUUGAUACUGGCAGUCUUGAGUACAGUUGAGGUAGGCGGAAUUCGUGGUGUAGCGGUGAAAUGCUUAGAUAUCACGAAGAACUCCGAUUGCGAAGGCAGCUUACUAACCUGACUGACAUUGAUGCUCGAAAGUGUGGGUAUCAAACAGGAUUAGAUACCCUGGUAGUCCACACGGUAAACGAUGAAUACUCGCUGUAGGCGAGUCUGCGGCCAAGCGAAAGCAUUAAGUAUUCCACCUGGGGAGUACGCCGGCAACGGUGAAACUCAAAGGAAUUGACGGGGGCCCGCACAAGCGGAGGAACAUGUGGUUUAAUUCGAUGAUACGCGAGGAACCUUACCCGGGCUUAAAUUGUGAAGGUGCUGCAUGGUUGUCGUCAGCUCGUGCCGUGAGGUGUCGGCUUAAGUGCCAUAACGAGCGCAACCCUUGCCGAUAGUUACUAACAGCUGAGGACUCUGUCGGGACUGCCAUCGUAAGAUGGAGGAAGGUGGGGAUGACGUCAAAUCAGCACGGCCCUUACGUCCGGGGCUACACACGUGUUACAAUGGGGGGCAGAGGGCUGCUACCACGCAAGUGGAUGCCAAUCCCACCUCUCUCAGUUCGGAUGAAGUCUGCAACCCGACUUCAGAAGCUGGAUUCGCUAGUAAUCGCGCAUCAGCCACGGCGCGGUGAAUACGUUCCCGGGCCUUGUACACACCGCCCGUCAAGCCAUGGGAGCCGGGGGUACCUGAAGUGCGUAGCGCCCUAGGGUAAAACUGGUGACUGGGGCUAAGUCGUAACAAGGUAACC